GUGGCGAACGGGUGAGUAAUACGUAGAUAACCUACCUUUAAGACGAGGAUAACAGUUGGAAACGACUGCUAAUACUGGAUAGUAUAUUUAAUCGCAUGGUCUAAUAUUUAAAGGUGCUUCAAAGCAUCACUUAAAGAGGGGUUUACGUCCCAUUAGCUAGUUGGUGGGGUAAAGGCCUACCAAGGCGAUGAUGCGUAGCUGUGCUGAGAGGCAAAACAGCCACACUGGGACUGAGACACGGCCCAGACUCCUACGGGAGGCAGCAGUAGGGAAUUUUCGGCAAUGGACGCAAGUCUGACCGAGCAAUGCCGCGUGAAUGAUGACGAUCUUCGGAUUGUAAAGUUCUGUUAUCAGGAAAGAAUAGCACGACCAGGAAAUGGGUUGUGUGUGACGGUACCUGAUUAGAAAGCCCCGGCUAACUAUGUGCCAGCAGCCGCGGUAAUACAUAGGGGGCGAGCGUUAUCCGGAAUUAUUGGGCGUAAAGAGUGCGUAGGCGGCUUAUUAAGUCUGACGUGAAAGACCACA
rnacentral:rRNA from 1 species